AUUGAACGCUGGCGGCAGGCCUAACACAUGCAAGUCGAGCGGAUGAAGGGAGCUUGCUCCUGGAUUCAGCGGCGGACGGGUGAGUAAUGCCUAGGAAUCUGCCUGGUAGUGGGGGAUAACGUCCGGAAACGGGCGCUAAUACCGCAUACGUCCUGAGGGAGAAAGUGGGGGAUCUUCGGACCUCACGCUAUCAGAUGAGCCUAGGUCGGAUUAGCUAGUUGGUGGGGUAAAGGCCUGCCAAGGCGACGAUCCGUAACUGGUCUGAGAGGAUGUUCAGUCGCACUGGAACUGAGACACGGUCCAGACUCCUACGGGAGGCAGCAGUGGGGAAUAUUGGACAAUGGGCGAAAGCCUGAUCCAGCCAUGCCGCGUGUGUGAAGAAGGUCUUCGGAUUGUAGAGCACUUUAAGUUGGGAGGAAGGGCAGUAAGUUAAUACCUUGCUGUUUUGACGUUACCAACAGAAUAAGCACCGGCUAACUUCGUG
rnacentral:rRNA from 1 species